GUUGCAACUCUAUGACCUUUUGUUCACAAUAAACCUUUUUCAUUUUUUUAUUUUAUUAAACGUUUUAUUAUUAAGGGAGAAAAAAUUCCCCCCCUGUUAAAACAUAACUGAGAUUAAUUGAGAUCUAUCGAAAACAUGGAACAGUGGUGAACCUCCCCAGGAGUGGCUGGCCAACCAAAAUUGCCCCAACAGCGCAGCGAGGACUCAUCCAAGAGGUCACAAAAGACCCCACAACAACAUCCAAAGAACUGCAAGCCCCACUUGCCUCGGUUAAGAAAACAUCUUGAUGAUCUCUAAGACCUUUGGGAAAAUACUUUGUGGCCUCACGAGACAAAAGUUGAACUUUUUAGAAGAACCUGGAAGACUUGCUGUGAUAAAUGGAACCAUAAAUUCUGCUGUCUACCAAAAAAUCCUGAAGGAGAAUGUCCGACCAUCUGUUUGUGACCUCAAGCUGAAAC